UACGGAGGGUGCAAGCGUUGUCCGGAAUCAUUGGGCGUAAAGGGUGCGUAGGCGGUUUGGUAAGUCUGAUGUGAAAUCUAUGGGCUCAACUCAUAGUCUGCAUCGGAAACUGCCGGGCUUGAGUGUGGGAGAGGUGAGUGGAAUUCCUGGUGUAGCGGUGAAAUGCGUAGAUAUCAGGAGGAACACCUGUGGCGAAAGCGGCUCACUGGACCAUAACUGACGCUGAUGCACGAAAGCUAGGGGAGCAAACAGG
rnacentral:rRNA from 1 species